rnacentral:rRNA from 1 species
GUUAGGAAUAUUGGACAAUGGGCGAAAGCCUGAUCCAGCCAUGCCGCGUGAACGAUGAAGGCCUUCGGGUUGUAAAGUUCUUUAGCCGAUGAUUAUAAUGACUGUAGUCGGAAAAUAAGCCCCGGCUAACUUCGUGCCAGCAGCCGCGGUAAUACGAAGGGGGCGAGCGUUAUUCGGAAUCACUGGGCGUAAAGCGUGCGUAGGCGGUCUCGUAAGUUAGGAGUGAAAGCCCAGGGCUCAACCUUGGAAUUGCUCUUAAUACUGCAAGGCUAGAAUCUCGGAGAGGAUAGCGGAAUUUCCAGUGUAGCAGUGAAAUGCGUAGAUAUUGGAAGGAACACCAGUGGCGUAAGCGGCUAUCUGGACGAGUAUUGACGCUGAGGCACGAAAGCGUGGGGAUCAAACAGGAUUAGAUACCCCGGUAGUCC